rnacentral:rRNA from 1 species
CCUACGGGAGGCAGCAGUGAGGAAUAUUGGUCAAUGGGCGGGAGCCUGAACCAGCCAAGCCGCGUGAGGGAAGAAGGUACAGCGUAUCGUAAACCUCUUUUGUCAGGGAACAACGGCGGGGACUAGUCCCCGGAUGAGGGUACCUGAAGAAAAAGCAUCGGCUAACUCCGUGCCAGCAGCCGCGGUAAUACGGAGGAUUCAAGCGUUAUCCGGAUUUAUUGGGUGUAAAGGGUACGUAGGCGGUUCGAUAAGUUAGAGGUGAAAUCCCGGGGCUCAACUCCGGCACUGCCUCUGAUACUGUCGGGCUAGAGUUUAGUUGCGGUAGGCGGAAUGUAUGGUGUAGCGGUGAAAUGCAUAGAGAUCAUACAGAACACCGAUUGCGAAGGCAGCUUACCAAACUACGACUGACGUUGAGGCACGAAAGCGUGGGGAGCAAACAGGAUUAGAUACCCUUGUAGUC